rnacentral:lncRNA from 1 species
GAUAAAUAAAUUAAAUACGUAUGCAUUAGAAAAAAGUACACAACUUUUUGAAAAGUUGAAAAAUCAAAUCAUUUUAAUUUUUAACCGUUUCCACAUAAUUUUCUUUUUAGCCGUUUGCAUUGUUAUGUGAAUUUUUUUAUAAAGUUACCUAGUUAUCUAUAAAAAAAAAUGGGGUCCCCUAAAAUUGGGGGCUUAAGGCGAGGGUCUUUUUCUUUGUACUGGUUAGCCGCCCUGCAUAAGACACAAAACAAAAAUAAUAUUAAAAAUUAGAAUGAUAUUAUCGGAUUCAAAAGUUAUGAAGACUUGAUUUCCAAAAAUGAAUCGAGCUGCUACAAUUAUUUUUCUUAAAAAUUAAAAUGUAAACUAUCAAUAGAAAAAGUAAGUUCUUAAGCUUUGAAAUUUAAAUAAAAGAGAUAUAAAAUUAGAAAGGAGAAAGUGAGAAAAAAUAGAAGAGAGGAGGAUAAAAUAUAUAAAAAUAAUUUUUUUAAAAAAAAGAUAAUAACGUAUGCAUUAGAAGAAAGUUCACAACUUUUUGAAAAAUUGAAAAGUGAAAUCAUUUUAAUUUUUAACCAUUUUCACUUAAUUUUUUUAGCCGUUUGGAUUGUUAUGUGAAUUUUUUAAAUUUUUUUUUACCUAAUUAUCUAAAAAAAUGGGGCCCCUAAAAUUGGGGGCCUAAGGCGAGAGUCUUUUUCUUAGUACUGUCCAGCCGCCCUGCAUAAGACACAAGACAAAAAUAAUAUUAGAAAUUAGAAUGAUAUUACCGGAUUCAAAUACUAUGAAACUUGAUUUCCAAAAAUGAAUCGAGCUGCUACAAUUAUUUUUCUUUAAAAUUAUAAUAUAUACUAUCAACAGAGCAAGUACGUUCUUAAACUUUGUAAUUUGAAUAAGAGAGAUAUAAAAUUAGAAAAGAGAAAGUGAGAAGAAAUAGAAUAGAGAAGGGUAAAAUAUAUAAAAACAAAUUUUUUAAAAAAGAAGAUAAAAUAGAUUAAAUAACGUGUGCAUCAGAAGAAAGUACACUUUUUGAAAAGUUAAAAAGUCAAAUCAUUUUAAUUUUUAACCGUUUCCAAAUAAUUUACUUUAGCCGUUUGCAUUGUUAUGUGAUUUUUUUUAAUAAAAUUACCUAAUUAUAUAUAAAAAAAAGGGGUCCUCUAAAAUUGGGACUUAAGGCGAGGGUCUUUUUCUUUGUAGUGGUUAGCCGCCUUGCAUAAGACACAGAACAAAAAUAAUAUUAAAAAUUAGAAUGAUAUUACCGGAUUCAAAAGUUAUGAAGACUUGAUUUUCAAAAAUGAAUCGAGCUGCUACAAUUAUUUUUCUUCAAAAUUAAAAUAUAAACUAUCAAUAGAACAAGUAAGUUCUUACGCUUUAAAAUUUAAUUAAGAGAGACAUAAAAUUAGAUAAGAGAAAGUGAGAAAAAUAGAACAGAGGAGGAUAAAAUGUAUAAAAAUAUUUUUUUUUAAAAAAAGAUAAAACAAAUUAAAUAACGUGUGCAUUAAAAGAAAGUACACAACUUUUUGAAAAAUUGAAAGUCAAAUCAUUUUAAUUUUUAAUCAUUUUCCUUAAUUUGUCUUUUAGCCGUUUGCGUUGUUAUGUGAUUUUUUUUUAAAAAAAUUACCUAAUUAUCCAAAAAAAAUGGGGCCCCUAAAAUUGGAGGCCUAAGGCGAGAGUCUUUUUCUUAGUACUGUCCAGCCACCCCCUGCAUAAGACAAAAAACAAAAAUAAUAUUAGAAAUUAGAAUGAUAUUACCGGAUGUGAAACUUGAUUUCCAAAAAUAAAUCGAGCAGCUACAAUUAUUUUUCUUUAAAAUUAAAAUAUAUACUAUCAACAGAGCAAGUAAGUUCGUAAACUUUGUAAUUUGAAUAAGAGAGAUAUAAAAUUAGAAAAGAGAAAGGAGAAGAAAUAGAAUAGAGAAGGAUAAAAUAUAUAUAAAAAAUAAAAUAAAAAGAUAAAAUAGAUUAAAUAACGUGUGCAUUAGAAGAAAGCAUACAACUUUGUUGAAAAGUUAAAAAGUCAAAUCAUUUUAAUGUUUAACCAUCUUCACUUAAUUUUUUUUAAGCGUUUGCAUUGUUAUGUGAACCUUUUUUUUUUAAUUUACCUAAUUAUCUAACAAAAAAUGGUCCCCAAAGAAAUUAGGGGCCUAAGGCGACGAUCUUUUGCUUUGUACAGGCCAGGCACCCCUGCAUAAGACACAAAACAAAAAUAAUAUUAGAAAUUAGAAUGAUAUUACCGAAUUCAAAAGUUAUGAAGAUUUGAUCUCCAAAAAUGAAUCGAGUUGUUACAAUUAUUUUUCUUCAAAAUUAAAAUAUAAACUAUCAAUAGAGCAAUUAAGUUAUUAACCUUUUAAAUUUGAAUAGAGAGAUAUAAAAUUAGAAAAGAGAAAGUGAGAAAAAUAGACGAGAAGAGGAUAAAAUAUAUAAAAACAAAAUUAAUAAAUAAAUAAAUUAAAUAAUGUGUUCAUUAGAAGAAAGUACACAACUUUUUGAAAAGUCGAAAAGUCAAAUCAUUUUAUAUUUAACCAUUUCCACUUAAAUUUUUUGUUUUAGCUGUUUGCGUUAUUAUGUGAAUUUUUUUUAAUUUAUCUAAUUAUCUAACAAAAAAUGGGGCCCCCUGAAAUUGGGGUCUAAGGCGAGGGUCUUUUUCUUUGUACUGGCCAGCCGCCCCUGCAUAAGGCACAAAACAAAAGUAAUAUUAGAAAUUAGAAUGAUAUUACCGGAUUUAAAAGAUAUGAAGAUUUGAUUUCAAAAAAUAAUCGAGUUGCAUCAAUUAUUUUUCUUUAAAAUUAAAAUGUAAACUAUCAAGAGGGGAGGAUAAAAUAUAUAAAAACAAAAUUAGAAAAUAGAUAAAAUAAAUUAAAUAAUGUGUGCAUUAGAAGAAAGUACACAACUUUUUGAAAAGUUGAAAAGUCAAAUCAUUUUAAUUUUUAACCGUUUCCACUUAAUUUUUUUUAGCGGUUUGCAUUGUUAUGUGAUUUUUUUUAAUUUACCUAAUUAACUAAAAAAAAUGGGACACCCUAAAAUUUGGGGCCUAAAGCGAGGGUCUUUUUCUUUGUACUGAUCAGC